UACGAAGGGGGCUAGCGUUGUUCGGAUUUACUGGGCGUAAAGCGCACGUAGGCGGAUCUUUAAGUCAGAGGUGAAAUCCCAAGGCUCAACCUUGGAACUGCCUUUGAUACUGGGGAUCUUGAGUCCGGGAGAGGUGAGUGGAACUGCGAGUGUAGAGGUGAAAUUCGUAGAUAUUCGCAAGAACACCAGUGGCGAAGGCGGCUCACUGGCCCGGUACUGACGCUGAGGCACGAAAGCGUGGGGAUCAAACAGG
rnacentral:rRNA from 1 species